CCUGGGGCUGACGCCCCAGGCUGUAUCCCCAUGCCGCUUUGCGGCA
rnacentral:sRNA from 1 species